GAUGAACGCUGGCGGCGUGCCUAAUACAUGCAAGUCGAGCGAAUGGAUUAAGAGCUUGCUCUUAUGAAGUUAGCGACGGACGGGUGAGUAACACGUGGGUAACCUGCCCAUAAGACUGGGAUAACUCCGGGAAACCGGGGCUAAUACCGGAUAACAUUUUGAACCGCAUGGUUCGAAAUUGAAAGGCGGCUUCGGCUGUCACUUAUGGAUGGACCCGCGUCGCAUGAGCUAGGUGGUGAGGUAACGGCUCACCAAGGCAACGAUGCGUAGCCGACCUGAGAGGGUGAUCGGCCACACUGGGACUGAGACACGGCCCAGACUCCUACGGGAGGCAGCAGUAGGGAAUCUUCCGCAAUGGACGAAAGUCUGACGGAGCAACGCCGCGUGAGUGAUGAAGGCUUUCGGGUCGUAAAACUCUGUUGUUAGGGAAGAACAAGUGCUAGUUGAAUAAGCUGGCACCUUGACGGUACCUAACCAGAAAGCCACGGCUAACUACGUGCCAGCAGCCGCCGUAA
rnacentral:rRNA from 1 species